rnacentral:rRNA from 1 species
CAAGACCUGCGCUUUUGGAGCGGCCGAUGCCUGAUUAGCUUGUUGGUAAGGUAAAGGCUUACCAAGGCUUCGAUCAGUAGCUGGUCUGAGAGGACGACCAGCCACACUGGGACUGAGACACGGCCCAGACUCCUACGGGAGGCAGCAGUGGGGAAUUUUGGACAAUGGGGGCAACCCUGAUCCAGCCAUGCCGCGUGAGUGAAGAAGGCCUUCGGGUUGUAAAGCUCUUUCAGCCGGAACGAAACGGUUACGGAUAACACCCGUGACUACUGACGGUACCGGAAGAAGAAGCACCGGCUAACUACGUGCCAGCAGCCGCGGUAAUACGUAGGGUGCGAGCGUUAAUCGGAAUUACUGGGCGUAAAGCGUGCGCAGGUGGUUUUGUAAGUCAGAUGUGAAAGCCCCGGGCUCAACCUGGGAACU